UGUGGGAGCGGGCUUGCUCGCGAAGGUGGCGUGUCAGUUCACAUCAAAGUCGACUGAUACACCGCCUUCGCGAGCAAGCCCGCUCCCACA
rnacentral:antisense_RNA from 1 species